rnacentral:misc_RNA from 1 species
AGCAGCCGCGGUAAUUCCAGCUCCAAUAGCGUAUAUUAAAGUUGUUGCAGUUAAAAAGCUCGUAGUUGAAUUUCGGGAUCAAUAUGUUGGUCGUGCCUCGGUACGUACUAGCAUAUUGGUUUCUCCUUUCUGAAGAACCAUGAUGUCAUUUAUUUGGUGUCGUGGGGAAUCAGGACUGUUACUUUGAAAAAUUAGAGUGUUUAAAGCAGGCUCACGCUUGAAUACAUUAGCAUGGAAUAAUGAAAUAGGACGUUUGAUUCUAUUUUGUUGGUUUCUAGGAUCGACGUAAUGAUUAAUAGGGAUAGUUGGGGGCAUUAGUAUUCAAUUGUCAGAGGUGAAAUUCUUGGAUUUAUUGAAGACUAACUACUGCGAAAGCAUUUGCCAAGGAUGUCUCAUUAAUCAAGAACGAAGUUAGGGGAUCGGAGACGAUCAGAUACCGUCGUAGUCUUAACCAUAAACUAUGCCGACUAGGGAUCGGAUGAUGUUAAUUUUAAUGA